rnacentral:rRNA from 1 species
GACGAACGCUGGCGGCGUGCUUAACACAUGCAAGUCGAACGGAAAGGCCCUGCUUUUGUGGGGUGCUCGAGUGGCGAACGGGUGAGUAACACGUGAGUAACCUGCCCUUGACUUUGGGAUAACUUCAGGAAACUGGGGCUAAUACCGGAUAGGAGCUCCUGCUGCAUGGUGGGGGUUGGAAAGUUUCGGCGGUUGGGGAUGGACUCGCGGCUUAUCAGCUUGUUGGUGGGGUAGUGGCUUACCAAGGCUUUGACGGGUAGCCGGCCUGAGAGGGGGGCCGGCCACAUUGGGACUGAGAUACGGCGCAGACUCCUACGGGAGGCAGCAGUGGGGAAUAUUGCACAAUGGGCGGAAGCCUGAUGCGGCAACGCCGCGUGCGGGAUGACGGCCUUCGGGUUGUAAACCGCUUUCGCCUGUGACGAAGCGUGAGUGACGGUAAUGGGUAAAGAAGCACCGGCUAACUACGUG